ensembl:snoRNA
UUCCAAAGUGUUGAGUUCAGUCCAGGGCAGCUUCCCUGUUCUGUUAAUUAAACUUUGGGACAUUAAAAUGGACCAAGGGAGAUGAUUGGAUAGGAAGUAUUAUUCUAUUCAUUUGCCUCCCAGCCUACAAAA